rnacentral:sRNA from 1 species
AGAUACCCGGCGGGCGGUUCCUCCUCCCUCUGCCUGCCGGGCGAAGCGGCCAGCACCUCCUCCCGCUGGUCACACAAAGGAAAAGGCCGGCACCUCCUCCCGUCGGCCUUUUUCU